rnacentral:rRNA from 1 species
UUUGUUCCUUAAAUAGGGACUUGUAUGAAUGGCCACACGAGGGCUUUACUGUCUCUUACUUCUAAUCCGUGAAAUUGACCUUCCCGUGAAGAGGCGGGAAUAUGACAAUAAGACGAGAAGACCCUAUGGAGCUUUAAUUAACCGACCCAAAGAGAUCUUGAUAACCAACCAACAGGGAUUACAAACCUCUACCAUGGGUCGACAAUUUAGGUUGGGGUGACCUCGGAGAAUAAAACAACCUCCGAGUGAUUUAAAUCUAGACUAACCAGUUGAAAAUAUUACAUCACUUAUUGAUCCAAAAACUUGAUCAACGGAACAAGUUACCCUAGGGAUAACAGCGCAAUCCUAUUUUAGAGUCCAUAUCGACAAUAGGG